UACGGAGGGUGCAAGCGUUAUCCGGAUUCACUGGGUUUAAAAGGCGCGUAGGUGGGCAGGUAAGUCAGUGGUGAAAUCUCCGGGCUUAACCCGGAACUGCCGUUGAUACUAUUUGUCUUGAAUGUCGUGGAGGUGAGCGGAAUAUGUCAUGUAGCGGUGAAAUGCUUAGAGAUGACAUAGAACACCGAUUGCGAAGGCAGCUCACUACGCGAAUAUUGACGCUGAGGCACGAAAGCGUGGGGAUUAAACAGG
rnacentral:rRNA from 1 species